AGCCCCUAGCAAGACACAAGUAUUAGGGGUAAUGCCUGCCCAGUGACUCUGUUAAACGGCCGCGGUAUCCUAACCGUGCAAAGGUAGCGCAAUCACUUGUCUUUUAAAUAAAGACUAGAAUGAAUGGCCAAACGAGGUUCUACCUGUCUCUUACAAACAAUCAGUGAAAUUGAUCUUCCCGUGCAAAAGCGAGAAUAACAUUAUAAGACGAGAAGACCCUGUGGAACUUCAAAUACAAAAUCAACUAUAACCUAUGUCAACCUAACCCAGGCCUAUCAAAAUAGCAUAUGAUUUCUAUUUUCGGUUGGGGCGACCUCGGAGAAAAACAAAACCUCCGAAAAAAAGAACUUUUCUUUUUAACCUAGACUAACAACUCAAAGUGCUAUUAGCAUAAACGAUCCAAUACACUUGAUCAACGAACCAAGCUACCCCAGGGAUAACAGCGCAAUCCCAUCAUAGAGUCCCUAUCGACGAUGGGGUUUACGACCUCGAUGUUGGAUCAGGACAUCCUGAUGGUGUAGCCGAUAUCAAGGGUUCGUUUGUUCAACGAUUAACAGUCCU
rnacentral:rRNA from 1 species